rnacentral:piRNA from 1 species
UGGCUAAAGCAUGGUUGGAUGAGUGUUC